AAUUAUUAACACUGUAACUAUUGAUAGAAUUUUUAAUUCUUUUAUAAAAGAUUGAAUAAUUUAACUUAUUCAGAAAAUUAAUGUGUGAAUGAUAUUUAUUGAUUUGUUAUAUAUUCUAUACUAUAAAUUAUUUAUAAUUUAUUUCUUUAAAUUUAUACCUAUAGAUACCUAUUUAUACCUAUAGAUAGCGCUCUAGUAUUAUAUGUUACAUUCGUUGCAAUGCAGUGAUAUUUGACACAGUUUAAGGCUAAGUAAAGAACCAGCUGUCCGUUAUGACAAGAUAUUCGAGUGAAUCGGACUCAGAUCAUAAUAGCAGGUAUCGUCGAAGACGUAGUAGGAGAUCCAGAUCAUCUAGUUCAGAUUCUAGUGAUUCAUCUUCUCAUAGACGAAGGUCAUCCAAACACUCAAAAACAAAGCGUAGACAUCGCUCACAUUCCAGAAGCAGAGGGAGAGAUAGAGAUCAUAGCCAAAAAAGUUACAAAAGCUCUAGAAACAGUAAUUCAAAAGGAAGAGAAAGACAUAGGUAUCAUUCUAGAUCACGUUCUUCAGAUUGUUCUAAGAGAAAAGCUAGAUCAGCUUCAAGAGAAAAAUCUGGGAGUCGUUCAAGUAGUUCACAAUCUAAUGUAAAGACUAUUGUGUCUGAAAAAACUAAAAAUGUUGUAAUAAAAGGUGAUUUUCCAAUUGAACCACGUUUUAAAGAAGGUGUGUUAGAGGAAAUCAAUUCUGAAGGUUUUACACCCAAACAAUUUUCGUCUAAUACAAAGGAAAAGAAAUUUAAGAACAUUGUUAUAGAUAUUAAUGCAGAUACUAUACAAGUUCCAGCAGUGGCUGAAGUUCCUUGUGGAUCUGAUAGUAUCUUUCAUUCUUCGAUAAUGAUUGAUCAGGAAGCCAGAUUUGAUAAAUGGGUGAAAAAAUUGUACACUCUUAGACAGAAAGCUAUAGCUGAUUUGAUACAUUCAAAUGUUACUUGAUAGUUGAAUAAUUUAGUUUUACCAAAAUUUAUUAGUGUAAACAAAUGUUGAUCUCUGGAUGUUCAUACCUGUGUAAUAAAUGGCUAUAAUUGAAAAUUCAAAAUGUACAAAUAGGCGUAUUAUUUUAUUAGAAACGUAGGAUAUAGAAAUAAAAAUAAUAUAUUAUUAUAUAAUCAAGAAACAAUUCCCUUAAAAACAAAAUUGUGCGUCUUUGACCGAUUAGGUUGAAAAGUUAAAAUACGUUAUGGGAUUACAAAAUAUUUUGUAUAUAAAUGUAUAAAUUAAAUGUAAGAAAUGAGUAAAAUAUAAAUAUUUUAUAAUUCUUGUUAUCAGACAUGUUGCUAUUAAAACUUGUAUCAAGAACUGUAUUAAUAUCAUAGAACACAAAUUCCAAUAAUUACAGUUACAUUUUGUUUGUAGACUAACGAGAUAUGUUUGACGUAUUGCAUUUUAUGGUAUAAUAUUUCUUUUGUGUAAUGCAAAUAAAGUUUAUGUAAAAUUACUUUAUCUCUGAA